CACUCACUCGCUGAUGGGAUCACAGCAGGAUUAACGUUAUUCGCGAGACACGACGCGGUCAUGGUAAAAAAUACAGUGCAAAGGUAGAGAGUGAAGGUGUGGUGGUAUUGGCAGCAAGAAGGCUGCAAUAAUAUGGGCCUGAAAUGAAGUACCGGAACAUUAUCAGUCAUUCAAGCUAUGAUCCUGGCAGAUCUACUUCCUGAAAAGAAGACUCAGCAGAUCUUUUCAAGACACACUAGAUGGAGCGCGGAGAGACCGGACAGUUCCCACAGUGCUAGUUUUUCAGCACCCACACCCCCAACACAAAUUCAGAUAGAAGUUUUUAAUAAUAAAAAGUUCAUAUGAUAGUUUAUAUUUAGCUAUGAAGCAAUAGUUUAUUGUCAUAAAUAUUAAAC